rnacentral:rRNA from 1 species
AGUGAACGCUGGCGGUAUGCCUAACACAUGCAAGUCGAACGACAACACAGUAAGCUUUCUCCUUUACCGGUGGCGGCUGGCGGACGGGUAACACAUACAUCACCAUCUUCUUUUUCUUGGGUGAUUUCGUAGGGCCACUUCCACUACUACCUCAUAUGUCCUACCGCUUAAAUCAGUAGAUCUUCGCACUUUUCCUGUCUCUAUUAGCUGAUGUCGCAUUAGCUAGUUGGCGUGGUAAAGGCCCACCAAGGCGACGAUCCGUAGCUGAUCUGAGAGGAUGAUCAGCCACACUGGAACUGAGACACGGUCCAGACUCCUACGGGAGGCAGCAGUGGGGAAUAUUGGGCAAUGGGCGAAAGCCUGACGCAGCAAUGCCGCGUGAGUGAAGAAGGCCUUCGGAUUGUAAAGCUCUUUUGUUAGGAAAGAAAAGAAGUAGAUUAAUACACGGAUGUUCUGACGGUACCCAAAGAGAAAGCACCGGCUAACUACGUG